rnacentral:lncRNA from 1 species
GGGCCCAUCUAGUAGCAAAAGUUCAUGGUGUUAAAUCUCCAGAUGUUGGUGUUUUUAUCCAGAAUGCAAUUAGAGUGCUUUAUGGUCAUGAGGAUAAACUGUAUGCAUAUUGAAUAAGCAAGGAAUCCAUGAUGGAUUAAGCUCGGGCUCAUCCUAAAUUCACAAAAGUCUAUUGCAAACUUAGCAAUCAAGAAAAAGAGUGUCCUAAAGGUCACUUCAGAGUUUUUUUUUCUGGCUAGUAUAUGAUGGCAUAUUUUUCAUGCUUGAGUUGAGUUAAGAUUAAUUUGUGGUUACACUUACAUCUUUAGAUUACUUGUGACUUCUCAUUCUUU